rnacentral:lncRNA from 1 species
GCUCUAGCAGAUAACAGUUUAAUCUGGAGUUUGAAGAGCUGGGAAUGCAGAGCUAGUCUGCACUUCAGGAGGAAUUCCAGAAGAAAGACAGGCAGAAAGGCUGUCAUGCAGGAUAGGGUGGAUUUGAUUUUCUAUGAACAUGAGCGAUGCAUUUCUUGAAGAGGACUUUACUCCUGGGUCCAAUAUGGAUGUAUUCAGAGGGGAUGAAACACCAGUCUCCUUUCAGAUCAUUCUUGAAGAAUCCCCUUGAAGGAUUUCUCCUGGCAGAGAACAUCUCCUGAAGGCAAAUGUCAUACCAGAGAAUAAAGGAAUGCCAUACAUACA